UGAGGAAUAUUGGUCAAUGGGCGAGAGCCUGAACCAGCCAAGUAGCGUGCAGGAUGACGGCCCUAUGGGUUGUAAACUGCUUUUAUGUGGGGAUAAAGUGCGUGACGUGUCAUGCAUUGCAGGUACCACAUGAAUAAGGACCGGCUAAUUCCGUGCCAGCAGCCGCGGUAAUACGGAAGGUCCGGGCGUUAUCCGGAUUUAUUGGGUUUAAAGGGAGCGUAGGCUGUCUAUUAAGCGUGUUGUGAAAUAUACCGGCUCAACCGGUGGCUUGCAGCGCGAACUGGUCGACUUGAGUAUGCAGGAAGUAGGCGGAAUUCAUGGUGUAGCGGUGAAAUGCUUAGAUUUCAUGACGAACUCCGAUUGCGCAGGCAGCUUACUGUAGCAUAACUGACGCUGAUGCUCGAAAGUGCGGGUAUCAAACGGG
rnacentral:rRNA from 1 species